GUUUCAUCUUUUCAGAGGCUAACGUUGGCUCUCAACUCUACAAAAAGAGCACAGCACAAAAGCCAGUCUUUAAAAGGACCCUGCGUAUCGCAGGUAGCAAAGAGGAAGGCAGCAUUCACCAGCAUUGUUGCCAUGGCUACAAAUUGCAAUCUCUAUCUUCCACACAGAGGGUAUGGAACGUGGGAGAAGGCCAAAGAGCUCCUUGGGAAGCCACCGGUGUCUGCCCAAAGCCCACAGCAGAGACUCAGCCCGGAGCUGUUUCUGCUCAGCCCAGUCACGUUUACUCGACAUUUUUGGAACUGUCCGCCUUGUGUAGAUGCAAUACUGACAGAGAGAGCAGCCUCUUUCACAGCUACCCAACUUAAAAUACAGCACUUACCCCUGCUUCCCUAUGGACUGCCAUUUUAAGCUAAUUAUAUACUGGGAGCUUUAUUUCCUGAAAAUGUACAUUGCCUUACUGAGAGCACCUGUGUACACCUGGAAUGAGACAGUAGCUAAUGAUUUAUGUGGGACAGUAACAACGGCUGCUUUUGCUGGAACCAUGCCAUAACUUAGUGUCUGCUGCUCUGCCCUGCUGGGUCAAGACAACACAUCCGUCACGUAAAUCACUUAAGUAAAUUAUUGAGAACUUAAA